CAUAGCUUUUCUUUGGGUCCUGAAGAAGCUUGUGCAAGGGAAACCCAUUUAGGAGCGGCCAGAUUCAGGAACUCUUUCUGGAGAGAAUGAAGAGGGAGAUGCUACUUAUAGUACCAGUGAUGAUCAUAUGGAUUCAAGUAUCACAAGUGAAUGGACAACAGAUAAAGCAACUUCCUCCAUUCCGGCUCCUACAAGAAGGAGUGAACUUCACCACAUACUGCAAUUCCUCCAGCACUUUAAACAGACUACAGUGGUAUAAGCAGAGGCCUGGGGGAAGUCCUGUUUUCUUGAUGAUAUUAGUUAGCGGUGGAGAAGUGAAGAAGCAGAAAAGACUGACAGCUCGGUUUGGGGAGACAAGAAAAGACAGCUCCCUGCACAUUACGGCCGCCCAGACUACAGAUGAGGGAACCUAUUUCUGUGCAGGAGCACAGUGCUCUCGAAGCACCUGCUGCCUGUGCCCAAACCUUGCUGUGGGGCUCCAGGAGCAGCUCCUCCUUAUCUCCCCUCAGAGCACGAGUCAGAGAAAGCUGAAGUCACAGUGUCUAUGA